rnacentral:tRNA from 1 species
GCGGGGGUUCCAGAGUGGCCAAAUGGGACAGGACUCAAGCACUCUGAGGCUUUAGCCUAUCCAUCAUUCGAUUAUGAAUGGUUGAGAUAUCUGUUGGCUUAGUGCCUUCGUGGGUUCGAAUCCUACCCCCCCGCA